rnacentral:rRNA from 1 species
AUUGAACGCUGGCGGCAGGCCUAACACAUGCAAGUCGAGUGAGCGGCGGACGGGUGAGUAAUGUCUGUGAAACUGCCUGAUGGAGGGGGAUAACUACUGGAAACGGUAGCUAAUACCGCAUACCAUCAGAUGUGCCCAGAUGGGAUUAGCUAGUAGGUGGGGUAACGGCUCACCUAGGCGACGAUCCCGAGCUGGUCUGGGAGGAUGACCAGCCACACUGGAACUGAGACACGGUCCAGACUCCAACGGGAGGAAGCAGUGGGGAAUAUUGGACAAGGGGGGCAAGCCGGAUGCAGCCAGGCGGGGGGUGUGAAGAAGGCCUUCGGGUUGUAAAGCACUUUCAGCGGGGAGGCGGUACCCGAAGAAGAAGCACCGGCUAACUACGUGCCAGCAGCCGCGGUAAUAC